GGUUAACCGUAUAGGGGAGCCGCAGGGAAACCGAGUCUUAACUGGGCGUUAAGUUGCAGGGUAUAGACCCGAAACCCGGUGAUCUAGCCAUGGGCAGGUUGAAGGUUGGGUAACACUAACUGGAGGACCGAACCGACUAAUGUUGAAAAAUUAGCGGAUGACUUGUGGCUGGGGGUGAAAGGCCAAUCAAACCGGGAGAUAGCUGGUUCUCCCCGAAAGCUAUUUAGGUAGCGCCUCGUGAACUCAUCUUCGGGGGUAGAGCACUGUUUCGGCUAGGGGGUCAUCCCGACUUACCAACCCGAUGCAAACUACGAAUACCGAAGAAUGUUAUCACGGGAGACACACGGCGGGUGCUAACGUCCGUCGUGAAGAGGGAAACAACCCAGACCGCCAGCUAAGGUCCCAAAGUCAUGGUUAAGUGGGAAACGAUGUGGGAAGGCACAGACAGCCAGGAUGUUGGCUUAGAAGCAGCCAUCAUUUAAAGAAAGCGUAAUAGCUCACUGGUCGAGUCGGCCUGCGCGGAAGAUGUAACGGGGCUAAACCAUGCACCGAAGCUGCGGCAGCGACACUAUGUGUUGUUGGGUAGGGGAGCGUUCUGUAAGCCUGCGAAGGUGUGCUGUGAGGCAUGCUGGAGGUAUCAGAAGUGCGAAUGCUGACAUAAGUAACGAUAAAGCGGGUGAAAAGCCCGCUCGCCGGAAGACCAAGGGUUCCUGUCCAACGUUAAUCGGGGCAGGGUGAGUCGACCCCUAAGGCGAGGCCGAAAGGCGUAGUCGAUGGGAAACAGGUUAAUAUUCCUGUACUUGGUGUUACUGCGAAGGGGGGACGGAGAAGGCUAUGUUAGCCGGGCGACGGUUGUCCCGGUUUAAGCAUGUAGGCUGGUUGUCCAGGCAAAUCCGGAUAACCAAGGCUGAGGUGUGAUGACGAGGCACUACGGUGCUGAAGUAACAAAUGCCCUGCUUCCAGGA
rnacentral:rRNA from 1 species